rnacentral:piRNA from 1 species
UUGCCUUGUGCCAGGCUUCUCCU